rnacentral:sRNA from 1 species
AACUUGGCAUGCUUAUAUUUCUAUAAGAUACCUCCACUAUUGCCAUGCAUCCAAAGAGCAAACAAAAAGUCAUUGAUAGCAGAUACUUAAAAAUUUAAUUAACCGAACCAAGUGAAAUCCAAGAUCUGUGGUCGUGAACUGUUCAUCAUCGGGAGGAGAGAAGCCAAUCAAAAUGUUUUAGUGCCCCUUCACAAUCAGAUAUUGCUACUGCACUUUAAGUAACACAUACAGGAGUAGUGCGACAACUGAUUCAACAUGCAGAUGCAGGGAAAAUGCUGUAUUAGCCCGGACAACUGUCAAAGGCAACA